GAAAAGGCCAAGUCAACUGAGGGGCAAAAAUGUCAUUUGGCCCCUCCAGCCCUAAUAGGGGUCCAAGGAGAACCCCGUCAGAUCCCCUGCAAAAGAAAGGAGUUAGAGAGAAAUUGGAGAGGAGUCAGCCGUGAAGAUUAACGGACCACCGCCGGAAUUCAUCUUCAGACGAGACUCGUACAAGGAUUGAGAGGCUAGCGAGGCCGACGCUCCGUCAAGACCCAAGAACAUUUUGCGAGGAACAACUCACGCACGGUCUGUGAAGAAGUUUGGCCGAGACCUCAACCCGAUGGCGGAGAUCCGAGAGUCGUCCGAGAACGGGACUUAAUUUGAAGAAAUCAGUAUUUUUGGACACCUCACGGGUAAAGAAACCCUAGCAAAAAGGGCACGCAUCAACCAGGUAAGUCACCACCCGGUAUUUAGGAAGAAAUACUUGUAGGGUUCGCUUGGAUUGUAUGUACGCAUGCUAGUAGUUUUGCUUCAGAUUAGCUCUUUACAUAUUGGUCAGAUUAACUGUUAUGAUUGUAUUUGGUGAAGUACAUGAGUGUUGCUGUAUACUUUAAGCUUCUGUUGUAUGUAUGCAUGCGUUUGAUUUAUGUUGGAAUUGUGUAUUCUAUGUUC